rnacentral:rRNA from 1 species
GGAGGCAGCAGCAAGGAAUAUUGCGCAAUGGGCGAAAGCCUGACGCAGCGACGCCGCGUGAGGGAAGAAGGCCUUCGGGUCGUAAACCUCUUUUCUUGGGGAAGAAUAAUGACGGUACCCAGGGAAUAAGUCACGGCUAACUACGUGCCAGCAGCCGCGGUAAUACGUAGGCGGCGAGCAUUAUCCGGAUUUACUGGGCGUAAAGCAGGUGUAGGUGGUUUUUCAAGUCGGAUGUGAAAUUUCUCGGCUUAACCGGGAAGGGUCAUUCGAUACUGUUAGACUAGAGGGCAGCAGAGGGAGAUGGAAUUCCCGGUGUAGUGGUGAAAUGCGUAGAUAUCGGGAGGAACACCAGUGGCGAAAGCGGUCUCCUGGGCUGUUCCUGACACUGAGGCCCUAAAGCGUGGGUAGCAAACAGGAUUAGAUACCCUGGUAGUCCACGCCUUAAACGAUGGAUACUAGGUAUGGGGGGUAUCGACCCCCUCCGUGCCAAAGUUAACACCUUAAGUAUCCCGCCUGGGGAGUACGGUCGCAAGACUAAAACUCAAAGGAAUUGACGGGGGCCCGCACAAGCAGCGGAGCGUGUGGUUUAAUUCGAUGCAACACGAAGAACCUCACCAAGGCUUGACAUACAAGAAGUAGUGAACCGAAAGGGGAACGACCUGUUAAGUCAGGAGCUUGAACAGGUGCUGCAUGGUUGUCGUCAGCUCGUGCCGUGAGGUGUUGGGUUAAGUCCCGCAACGAGCGCAACCCUCGUUGCCAGUUGUUUUCUCUGGCGAGACUGCCCCGCAAGACGGGGAGGAAGGUGGGGAUGACGUCAAAUCAGCACGGCCCUUAUGCCUUGGGCUACACACACGCUACAAUGGGCGGUAUAAUUGGUCGCAAUGGGGUGACUCGGAGCUAAUCCUAAAAACCGUCCUCAGUUCAGAUUGUAGGCUGAAACCCGCCUGCAUGAAGUCGGAGUUGCUAGUAACCGCGUAUCAGCAUGUCGCGGUGAAUACGUUCUCGGGCCUUGUACACACCGCCCGUCACGUCAUGAAAGUCGGUAACACCUGAAGUCGAUAGGCUAACUCGCAAGAGAGGCAGUCGCCGAAGGUGGGACUGAUAAUUGGGACGAAGUCGUAACAAGGUAGCCGUAGCGGAAGCUGCGGCUG